GUGGUCGCUUCAGCAGCACAUAUACUAAAAUUGGAACUGUAUAGAGAAGAUUAGCAUGACCCCUGUGCAAGGAGGACACACAAAUUUGUGAAGCGUUCCAUAUUUCU
rnacentral:snRNA from 1 species